rnacentral:rRNA from 1 species
AUUGAACGCUGGCGGCAGGCCUAACACAUGCAAGUCGAGCGAGCGGCGGACGGGUGAGUAAUGUCUGGGAAACCGCCUGAUGGAGGGGGAUAACUACUGGAAACGGUAGCUAAUACCGCAUACCAUCAGAUGUGCCCAGAUGGGAUUAUCUAGUUGGUGGGAUAAUGGCUCACCUAGGCGACGAUCCCCAGCUGGUCUGAAAGGAUGACCAGCGACACUGGAACUGGGACACGGUCCAGACACCUGCGAGAGGCAGCAGUGGGGAAUAUUGCACAAUGGGCGCAAGCCUGAUGCAGCCAUGCCGCGUGUGUAAAGAAGGCCUUCGGGUUGUAAAGCACUUUCAGCAGGGAGACGUUCUCUCAGAAAAGCACCGGCUAACUCCGUGCCAGCAGCCGCGGUAAUAC